GAUGAACGCUGGCGGCGUGCCUAAUACAUGCAAGUCGAGCGAAUGACGAGGAGCUUGCUCCUCUGAUUUAGCGGCGGACGGGUGAGUAACACGUGGGUAACCUGCCUGUAAGACGGGGAUAACUCCGGGAAACCGGAGCUAAUACCGGAUGAUAACGAGAAGCGCCUGCUUCUUUUUUGAAAGUCGGUUUCGGCUGACGCUUACAGAUGGGCCCGCGGCGCAUUAGCUAGUUGGUGAGGUAACGGCUCACCAAGGCGACGAUGCGUAGACGACCUGAGAGGGUGAUCGGCCACACUGGGACUGAGACACGGCCCAGACUCCGCCGGGAGGCAGCAGUAGGGAAUCUUCGGCAAUGGACGAAAGUCUGACCGAGCAACGCCGCGUGAGCGAUGAAGGCCUUCGGGUCGUAAAGCUCUGUUGUCAGAGAAGAACAAGUACCGGAGUAACUGCCGGUACCUUGACGGUACCUGACCAGAAAGCCACGGCUAACUACGUGCCAGCCGCCGCGGUAAAAC
rnacentral:rRNA from 1 species